GGGGCUGGUUGAGUUCUAGGAGCUAGAACACUUGAAGCAAGGUGAAGAAGGAGCACUGUCCUUGAUUCAAUUUUUGUGUGGAUCAUCAUUGGAGGGUAGACACUUGGACACCUCAUGAAAAUUAGAUUAGCAUUAUAGGUAUUCUUCUGAUCCAAAUUUUUUUUAUUGUACUUUGAUUAAUAUAGUCAAGAGUUUUUGGACAUUAGGGUUUUCAGUGUAUCAGGUGUUUUUAAUGAAAAUUUUAAACACCUAAUUU
rnacentral:lncRNA from 1 species